rnacentral:rRNA from 1 species
GAUGAACGCUGGCGGCGUGCCUACUACAUGCAAGUCGAGCGAACAGACGAGGAGCUUGCUCCUCUGACGUUAGCGGCGGACGGGUGAGUAACACGUGGAUAACCUACCUAUAAGACUGGGAUAACUUCGGGAAACCGGAGCUAAUACCGGAUAAUAUAUUGAACCGCAUGGUUCAAUAGUGAAAGACGGUUUUGCUGUCACUUAUAGAUGGAUCCGCGCCGCAUUAGCUAGUUGGUAAGGUAACGGCUUACCAAGGCAACGAUGCGUAGCCGACGUGAGAGGGUGGUCGGCCACACGGGAACUGAGACACGGUCCAGAGUCCUACGGGAGGCAGCAGUAGGGAAUCUUCCGCAAUGGGCGAAAGCCUGACGGAGCAACGCCGCGUGAGUGAUGAAGGUCUUCGGAUCGUAAAACUCUGUUAUUAGGGAAGAACAAAUGUGUAAGUAACUAUGCACGCCUUGACGGUACCUAAUCAGAAAGCCACGGCUAACUACGUG